AACAUCUCAAAUCUCUUGGAAUUUUUCUUCUGAAAGAAUUGGAUUUGAGUGAUCCUGACUCUUGUAAAAGAGAGGAGGGCUGCUUGAAAUGCAGGUGCAGCUGGACAUUCUUCUGAGCUGAAAGCAUAUUUAUUUAGUCCCAUGAAAUGGAUUAUUAUUUUUUGCUUCAGCUAACAUAAAGGUCAAAUGAACAAAAACCAAGGCUGAUUGCAGGAAAACUUGUCUUGUCUCAUGCAAGACUUGUAA
rnacentral:misc_RNA from 1 species